rnacentral:sRNA from 1 species
CUGUGUUGUCUUUCUUGGACGUUUCCUCCCUAAACUUGGGCCGCGUUUCGACGCGGCUCUUUUUUUGCGUCGAG